UACGUAGGGGGCUAGCGUUGUCCGGAUUUAUUGGGCGUAAAGAGCGUGUAGGCGGCCAGGUAGGUCCGGUGUGAAAACUCGAGGCUUAACCUCGAGAUGUCAUCGGAAACCAUCUGGCUAGAGUCCGGAAGAGGAAAGUGGAAUUCCUGGUGUAGCGGUGAAAUGCGCAGAUAUCAGGAAGAACACCAAUGGCGAAGGCAGCACUCUGGGACGUGACUGACGCUGAGACGCGAAAGCGUGGGGAGCAAACAGG
rnacentral:rRNA from 1 species